rnacentral:rRNA from 1 species
UACGAAGGGGGCUAGCGUUGUUCGGAUUUACUGGGCGUAAAGCGCACGUAGGCGGAUUUUUAAGUCAGGGGUGAAAUCCCAGGGCUCAACCCCGGAACUGCCUUUGAUACUGGAAGUCUUGAGUAUGGUAGAGGUGAGUGGAAUUCCGAGUGUAGAGGUGAAAUUCGUAAGAUAUUCGGAGGAACACCAGUGGCGAAAGGCGGCUCACUGGACUGGUAUUGACGCUGAGGUGCGAAAGCGUGGGGAGCAAACAGG